rnacentral:rRNA from 1 species
AUUGAACGCUGGCGGCAUGCCUUACACAUGCAAGUCGAACGGCAGCACGGGAGCAAUCCUGGUGGCGAGUGGCGAACGGGUGAGUAAUAUAUCGGAACGUGCCCGGUCGUGGGGAUAACGUAGCGAAAGCUACGCUAAUACCGCAUACGAUCUACGGAUGAAAGCGGGGGAUCGCAAGACCUCGCGCGAUUGGAGCGGCCGAUAUCAGAUUAGGUAGUUGGUGAGGUAAAGGCUCACCAAGCCGACGAUCUGUAGCUGGUCUGAGAGGACGACCAGCCACACUGGGACUGAGACACGGCCCAGACUCCUACGGGAGGCAGCAGUGGGGAAUUUUGGGACAAUGGGCGCAAGCCUGAUCCAGCAAUGCCGCGUGCAGGAUGAAGGCCUGGUU